AGAGAUACAGAGGUAGCAUGUUGAGCUCCAGGGUUCCAAUGGUGUUUGAAAUUAUGUCAGUCCUUUUUCUACUUGUAGUUUGUAAAUUAACAGGUGUUUACAGUGUGGACCUCACUCCUGUCGAGCAGAAAGAGAACAGUUUAGAAGGUACAAGUGUUACUCUGUCCAACCCGCGGCGCUCUCUAAAACUGCCACAGGGAGCGAUUAUUUCUUCUGGUACCGUCAGUAUCCUGGAGAACCUCCACAGUUCCUGCUGUACAUCUCAGGGUUUGGUAUCAACAGGACAGCUGAGUCUCUUGGUUCAGACAAAAGGUUUUCUAUUGAACUGACUGAAGAGAAGACUGGAGUGGAUCUGAAGAUCUCCUCUGUUGCAGUGACAGACUCUGCUCUGUACUACUGAGCUCUGCAGACCACAGUGACCGGAAU